CUAGCGACUUCAGAGUUUGAUCCUGGCUCAGGACGAACGCUGGCGGCGUGCCUAACACAUGCAAGUCGAGCGAGAAUCUUAUGAAUGAUCCUUCGGGUGAAUGAUUAAGAGGAGAGCGGCGGACGGGUGAGUAACGCGUGAGUAAUCUGCCUUAAGGAGGGGGAUAACACAGAGAAAUCUGUGCUAAUACCGCAUAACAUAUCUUUACCGCAUGAUAGAGAUAUCAAAACUGAGGUGCCUUAAGAUGAGCUCGCGUCCGAUUAACUAGUUGGUGGGGUAAUGGCCCACCAAGGUUACGAUCGGUAGCCGGACUGAGAGGUUGAACGGCCACAUUGGAACUGAGAUACGGUCCAG
rnacentral:rRNA from 1 species